CCGUGGGUAAAAGUUCAUUUGUAGCAAUACACCUUUGUAAGGUGUGCAUGGCGUGUCAGCUGGCCGUGAGGUGUUGGGUUAAGUCCCGCAACGAGCGCAACCCCUAUCUUUAGUUGCCAACAGGUUAAGCUGGGAACUUAAAGAAACUGCCGUCGUAAGACGCGAGGAAGGAGGGGAUGAUGUCAAGUCAUCAUGGCCUUUAUGCCCAGGGCUACACACGUGCUACAAUGGCAGGAACAAAGGGUGCUACCUGGUAACAGGGUGUAAUUCAAAAAUCCUCUC
rnacentral:rRNA from 1 species